GCCGGGCGUGGUAGUGCAUGCCUGUAAUUCCAGCUACUCGGGAGGCUGAGGCAGGAGAAUCGCUUGAACCCAGGAGGCGGAGAUUGCAGUUAGCCAAGAUCGCCCCACUGCAAUCCAGCCUGGGCAACAGAGCGAGACUCUGUCUCAA
rfam:Homo sapiens chromosome 22, GRCh38 reference primary assembly.